UAAAUUGUUCAUUAAUUGUGAACUGGAAUGAAGGAAAUAAUGGUUCAAGUCUGUCUUGAAAUACUAUAUAUUGAAUUUAAAUUUUUUGUAAAAUACAAAAAUAAUUUUUAGGGACAAGAAGACCCUAUAAAGCUUAUGUGAUUUUAGCUAUGUGUAUUGUAAAAAUAAUUUAAUUGGGGCAAUGAUUUAUGUAUAAAAGAUAUAAAUUUAACUGGGAUAAUAAUAUAUGUAAUAUAAUUUUGAUCCAUUAUUAAUGAAAAAUGCUAAAUUUACUUUAGGGAUAACAGGUUAAUUUUUAUUAGAAAGUUCUUAUUGAUAAUAAAGUUUAUUACCUCGAUGCUGAAUUAAUUUAAUUUAAUGGUGAAGUAACUUUUGAGUUUGACUGUGCGUCAAUUAAAUAAAUACAUGAUCUGAGUUC
rnacentral:rRNA from 1 species